UAUGAUGUGGCAGAUUUUUGUAAGUUUU
rnacentral:piRNA from 1 species